AGAGUUUGAUCCUGGCUCAGGACGAACGCUGGCGGCGCGCCUAACACAUGCAAGUCGAACGAGCGAGAGAGAGCUUGCUUUCUCGAGCGAGUGGCGAACGGGUGAGUAACGCGUGAGGAACCUGCCUCAAAGAGGGGGACAACAGUUGGAAACGACUGCUAAUACCGCAUAAGCCCACGGCUCGGCAUCGAGCAGAGGGAAAAGGAGCAAUCCGCUUUGAGAUGGCCUCGCGUCCGAUUAGCUAGUUGGUGAGGUAAUGGCCCACCAAGGCAACGAUCGGUAGCCGGACUGAGAGGUUGAACGGCCACAUUGGGACUGAGACACGGCCCAGACUCCUACGGGAGGCAGCAGUGGGGAAUAUUGCACAAUGGGGGAAACCCUGAUGCAGCGACGCCGCGUGGAGGAAGAAGGUCUUCGGAUUGUAAACUCCUGUUGUUGAGGAAGAUAAUGACGGUACUCAACAAGGAAGUGACGGCUAACUACGUGCCAGCAGCCGCGGUAAAACGUAGGUCACAAGCGUUGUCCGGAAUUACUGGGUGUAAAGGGAGCGCAGGCGGGAAGACAAGUUGGAAGUGAAAUCUAUGGGCUCAACCCAUAAACUGCUUUCAAAACUGUUUUUCUUGAGUAGUGCAGAGGUAGGCGGAAUUCCCGGUGUAGCGGUGGAAUGCGUAGAUAUCGGGAGGAACACCAGUGGCGAAGGCGGCCUACUGGGCACCAACUGACGCUGAGGCUCGAAAGUGUGGGUAGCAAACAGGAUUAGAUACCCUGGUAGUCCACACCGUAAACGAUGAUUACUAGGUGUUGGAAGAUUGACCCCUUCAGUACCGCAG
rnacentral:rRNA from 1 species